GAUGAACGCUGGCGGCGUGCCUAAUACAUGCAAGUCGAGCGAACAGACGAGGAGCUUGCUCCUCUGACGUUAGCGGCGGACGGGUGAGUAACACGUGGAUAACCUACCUAUAAGACUGGGAUAACUUCGGGAAACCGGAGCUAAUACUGGAUAAUAUAUUGAACCGCAUGGUUCAAUAGUGAAAGACGGUUUUGCUGUCACUUAUAGAUGGAUCCGCGCCGCAUUAGCUAGUUGGUAAGGUAACGGCUUACCAAGGCAACGAUGCGUAGCCGACCUGAGAGGGUGAUCGGCCACACUGGAACUGAGACACGGUCCAGACACCUACGGGAGGCAGCAGUAGGGAAUCUUCCGCAAUGGGCGAAAGCCUGACGGAGCAACGCCGCGUGAGUGAUGAAGGUCUUCGGAUCGUAAAACUCUGUUAUUAGGGAAGAACAAAUGUGUAAGUAACUAUGCACGUCUUGACGGUACCUAAUCAGAAAGCCACGGCUAACUACGUG
rnacentral:rRNA from 1 species